rnacentral:miRNA from 1 species
AAGCGAAUGGCCCACACUCCCA